CUCGGCUUCUCCUCUACCACGGCACACCUCAGUUUAUCGUCGACCGCGUGCGCGAAAGCAAUUCACUAUUGCCCGCAGUCCUUCGCUGGUCUGUCGUCGCGAUGCGCCGCAGCAGAUGAGAAGCAAUGAGAGAACAUUGCUCGGCCGCGGCUAAACAUGCUCAUUGUCGCCGACAAUGACAAGGCGUUGAGCUGGAAAAAGCGACUAUUUUUUCACGGAUCUUCUGCUGCGAUUGUGUGUCCGCCUGUUGCCGCUGCUGUUUGAGAUGAAGAAAAAAUGCUUCGACGACACAGAUUCGACUUCUCUUCUUCGGCAGAAUGAAACUACGUAGAAAUAUCCGUGAACAACAAGAAAAAAAAAACAAAGAUAUCGUCAAUGCAUGCACACACAUGUGUCCGAACUGCUUAAAAAGCCAUUUGCUGCAUUGCGACAAUGAACGUGUAGCGAACAAUCGCGUGGCGUCCUCGCACAUUCCGUUGAUAUUAGACGACUCUCGAGGAGCUGGAGAUCUACUUUUACGCAGCGUGUGGAGUUGCACUCCUCCUUUUCUUCGUCAUCUUCGUUCUCAUCGGGAUUCUCUUCGUCAAAGUCAAUCGUCUGGUAUCAGAUGACUCGAAUCAGU